CCUACGGGAGGCUGCAGUAGGGAAUUUUCGGCAAUGGGGGGAACCCUGACCGAGCAACGCCGCGUGAACGAAGAAGUUAUUCGUAAUGUAAAGUUCUUUUAACAGGGAAGAAAGAGAAAUUUGAUGGUACCUGAAGAAUAAGCUCCGGCUAACUACGUGCCAGCAGCUGCGGUAAUACGUAGGGAGCGAGGGUUAUACGGAAUUAGUGGGCGUAAAGGGUGCGUAGAUGGAAGAGUAAGUCUUUUGUAAAAAUGCUGGGCUAAACCCAGUAGGGCCAAAGAUACUGGAAAGCUAGAGUGUGAGAGAGGCAAGUGGAAUUCCAGGUGUAGCGGUAAAAUGCGUAGAUAUAUGUAGGAACACCAGUGGCGAAGGCGACUUGCUGGGUCGAUACUGACAUUGAGGCACGAAAGCGUGGGGAGCAAACAGGAUUAGAUACCCGUGUAGUC
rnacentral:rRNA from 1 species